CCGCCUUUAUGAGCAGAUGGGACAUCAUCACAUGCCUCAAGAAGGCAGCAAGCAUUUCCCAGCAGGCUCAAAACCUUCAAAAAGGAUGAAGGGACUUUCAGGUGCACAUUGGGGAGGUUAAAGGAACAGAGUUGCAGUGCAUGACCCAGCAAAGAACAGGACACCAGUGAGACUGAGAGGCAAGAUAUUUUUACUUCGUCCUAAGUGGCACACAGUAGAGCCCUGCAGCAGGACCAGGAUCCCACAGGACCCGCUGCCAUAAUAGCAGGAGCAGGAUUAAAAAUAAUCCCACGCAGGGAUCUAGCAUACAGGAUCUGGUCCAAGAGGUGAAUACAGCUGAACUGCUCUGUAAUAGCGACCAUAAGGUGUCUGCAGCCUGACUGUCACAGAUAAUACUUCAUGAACCCCAAGUACUGCAUCAAUACGAAGUCAAUCUCAGUUGGCGUCUGGACUUCAAGUGUUGUUACUGAUCAGACAGACAAAUUACCCUAUAGUGAAAGAAAGGAGAUACUGGUAUUGCAACAAUCUUCUAUUCCCAAUUCCUUGUUCCACUCUGGCUAAGCUAGUGAAGAAAGCUUUAAACUACAUUCAACGGGGUCAGGAGACAAAAACUCACAGGUGUUCUCUGCCAUUAAUCCUGACAGCCUUUAUGUGCUUGAUGUUUGGCUGGACAGAGGCUACUUUUAACAAACCCUGUAUGGAGAUUUGAAACGAGGACUAGAGGAACGGAUUUGGGGAGGAGAGCACCCAGACUCCCCUUCACCCUCCUUCUUCCCAAGAGUAAAACAGGAACUCUGCUUCAGGUGUAAUCUGAAACAGUUUUAAAUAUAUUUCCAUGAAUUUACCAUAA